rnacentral:lncRNA from 1 species
AAAGAUAAUGAUCAGGCCUUACAAUUUAUUUAUAUUCAUAUUCAUGUACAAGAAUUAACAUUAAUGAUAUUUAUAAUACAAUGAUACCUUCGGUUCGCCAGAAGGUGGGAAUGCAAAGAUGACACGAGAGAGAGAUUACAAUCCAGCGUGAACAAUACGGUGCUACUAUUCAUCUAUUUAUAGGCACGAGACGCAGCCCAGACAAAAUUACAUCUAUGCCCGUGACAUUUACUCUUAAUUAUAAAGCGAGUUGUCAAGGACUAAGUAGUCUUUUCCCUCUUAGGUCGAUUUCGUCCUUCAUCUUUGCUAUCAUAUCAAGCCAAAGCUCCUUUAGCCAUAGUUUCAGCGUCCAUCCAUGUUACCUUCGGGUUGUAUCUUCAUAUCACACACGCCUUUAUCAUGAGAGGUCUUUCAUCCCGAAGUCAAAGUCUCCUGUAACAGUCCAUGCCAUACUGAAAACAUAUGAUUAGUCACGUUUUUGAGGACCUUUGGAAGGAGAAGGCCCCCAACAGUCCCAUUCCACCCUUAUGGUAGCAUGUUUUCCAGGGUGGUCACUCAUGUUCCAAUUAACAUAAUAAUCUUAUCAUGAACGGAAAAUAAUCAUUUGACAAUAAAUAGCAUGAUCAUGAAUAAAAUGUAUCUUAAUACCCAAAACCAUAUAGUGGAAUAGCACAAACUACCCAAAAGUUCAGUUGCAAGCAAGGUAUAAAGUAACUCAAACUAGGGUGACCUAUUGGAUCCCAUCAAAAUUAACCUGAGCAUGCCACAGUGAUUAAUAGUAACAUUAUUGGGUAAAGAAGAGUGACCAAGGGCACAACUUGCCUUGGACUUGAGAUCCCAGGUACUUCACCAAAUUGGUCUUCGGGUUUCUCAUGUCCUUGCUGCUACUCGUAGCAAUACAUACAAAUAGACAAGAGUACAUAAAAAUAGCAUUACACCAAAAUGGGAACAAACUGUGUAGGAAUAUUCUACGCGCUGCUAUGAGAACUUAGGUUCGAGAAUGGCUAAAAUCGAAGUUACGGUUAAGAAUACGAUUUUCCAAAGUUUUAUGUUCUUGGACAAGUUAAACAUAGGCUAAACCAAUUAAGUGCUCAUUUCGAAAACAUGUUACAUAACAAAAUAAGGUUACUAGGUUGUAGCUAGUGUUAAUACGAACCUAAUGCAACUGGAACAGGUUAAAUCAGAGAUAAAACGGAGAAGUUAUGAUUUUUUUUAAGCUUCUAGGUAUUUUUACAUUUAUUUUACACCUAAAAACAUUUAUUAAACUUUUUUCUAUAAUUCCUGGAUUUAAAUGGAUGUCGGGUAUACAAAAUCUUGAAAGCUCAGGGUUCGAUUCAUGAAUUUCAGGACCUUAGUGUUACUAUCUUUGAGCUAUAGUGGACGACGGGUUGAUUCCCUGGAAAUCCAGGGCUCUUCUACAAAAUGGCGCAGCCGAAGGGUAUGGUCGAUCCUGGACCGACCAAUCUACCAACAAUGGCCCAGAUUAGAUUGUAUUUAUAAUGAACCGGUACGUUCUAAGAACCGUAGGAUCAGCGAUGAGCGACCAGGAUUGUAUGCCAAUCACAACGCUCGAAUCAAGGAUCUACGGUGCUGAGUUAAAGCGACGGUAGUAUGGGGUCUCUAAUCUGGUUCGCCCAUCUAAGAAUGGAUGGCUCACAACACCUCGAGCCAAACCGGUAUCCCUUUCUAAUCAUGGCCACACCACACGAGAUCAAAGGUGCCCGAAGCUCCUCCCACCUCCUGGGCGGACGCGGCGGCGCCUAGGUUUGCACGGAGGGGAUCGCUGGAGCACCAUAGCCCGGUGAUUAAGAACCCCAAUCCCCUAGCCCAACGCGCCCUAAAUGUAGAGAACGAGAAAGCAAAGUGGUAAGGGGGUUCCUUACCGGCCUCCACUGCGUGGAGUUCCCUGACUUCGGUGAGCGGCGGUCACGCGGCUGUGGAGUGCUCCGACGAUGAAUUCACCAUGCUCUAGUCGAUCACCGCCUAUGGAGAUGCCAUGACCAGCCUUGGAAGACUCCUAUGAAUCUCUUGGUGCCUCGCUACGGCCUAGCUGAUGAUGCGGACCGAAUUAGGCCGGUGGCGGACGCACGCACGACGCACGAUUGGACGAUGGCUUAGGGUUUCCUUGGCUUUUGGCGUAGCAAGAGAGGGGUUCAAGGUAUGAGGUGGAUGCGGAAGGUGCUCAGUGAUGCAGCGGCCAGUUUUAUAGGGGCGAGCAAGGCGGACCUGGC